GAUGAAGAACGUAGCGAAAUGCGAUAAGUAGUGUGAAUUGCAGACUUUAGUGAAUCAUCGAAUCUUUGAACGCACAUUGCGCCCCUUGGUAUCCCGAGGGGCAUGCCUGUUCGAGCGUCAUUUCACCACUCAAGCCUGGCUUGGUGUUGGGCGACGUCCCCUUUGGGGACGCGCCUCGAAACGCUCGGCGGCGUGGCACCGGCUUUAAGCGUAGCAGAAUCUUUCGCUUUGGAAGUCGGGGCCCCGUCUGCCGGAAGACCUACUCGCAAGGUUGACCUCGGAUCAGGCAGGGAUACCCGCUGAACUUAAGCAUAUCAAUAAGCGGAGGA
rnacentral:misc_RNA from 1 species